AUGAUUCUUACCUGAAUGCAGUAGAAGUACGCAGAGGAUGAGGAUGGAAACAAUGGACACCUUUCUUGUUAACUCCAUCGCUGAAUUGUUUGAGAGAAGCAACCUCAGAUCAAGAGCCGCGGCACCAAUGGAGUAUAGUGUGGAAGGAGGGCUUAUCUCUUCACUUUCUGCUAGGAAGAAGGCAAUACAGAUAUAUAUACUCCCUCCGUUCGGGUAUAAAUGGCCAAUUUCUAAAAUCCCGUUGAUCAAGACAGGGCACGAUCGAGGGAGAAAAUGGUGCUUUAAUCACCCCUUAAUUUCCUCCCUUCCUUAAUUGCCUCCUCCAAUCAAUCUCAAAGGCAACUACCGGGGAGAGAGGAAUUAACUCGGAGGAGUGAGGAAUUAACGGGACCAUAUAAUAUUUCCGAUUGGAAUUUGCAAGGAAUUUAGGACAGUAAAACUGAGCCUCCUUCCUGCCCUCUCACGCUAUCAACCCUAUUGACCGUCGGAUCUCGCCAUGUUGACCUUCAAGCCGUCCGAUCUAGGGCGCCUGUCCUCAUGGGCCGCUGCUCCCGUAGAAAAAUCGGCGUCACCCGGUUAACUGGGCUAAGACGGCAUGUUAUCUGGGCUGAGACGGCCUGCUAAGCAUCAAAUGUCUCUCACGGAACCCUAGCAGCUCUCCCUCCUCUACAACUGCAGUGCGGCUCUCUCGUACCCUUUCUCCUCCCACCUGCAUCCUCCUUUCGUCUUCAUGAAGUCAGAUCCUGCCGGCAACAGGGGAGUCGGUGGAGGACUGUAGAAGGAGGAAUAGGAGGCGACAUAGGCAAUGUGAAGUAGAGAUAAAUAUCAUAAGUAAGUAUUGGUUAGAAGUAACCGCUACUACACGGGUACCAAGAAUGAAGAGAGGAUGACAUGUGGGUCCAUCAAAAAAGAGAAAGGAAUAAGAAAAAAGAAAACAUAUUAAAAAGGGAAAAAAAAGUUAGUAUCAACCACCAUUGGAGAUGCCCUAAUAACUCCUGGCAUGCUUGUCCGGCCGACCACACGUGAUGCGCUGACGAUCUGCCUAGGCAGCGUGCGGAGCAGUCAGUCGAAGGCUUCACGCACGCCCAUCACGUCGCUUCUAUGGGUUCUUGAUCUCUAGUGAGACUUCAACGGCUCUACGGAGAUCUCUGACGGGUCCCCUUUUUUCCUCCCAGACCCGGUUUUAUUUUGACGAUGAGGCUGCUCUUGCAUCAACACGGGCAAGUUUGUGUCUGUCCUUUUGGCAGACUGCAGUGCACGGGUGUAUAUAUAUGGACGCCCAUCGUUCAUCCCGGCAUUAAUCAAAGCCGGGGACUGCCUAGUCAUUGAUAGCAAGC
rnacentral:lncRNA from 1 species